GUAGCGAAGACUUAGGCCGACGCAGCCUGGAGGGACGAAGUGGGUGGGGCUAGGAUGAGACCUUGGCCUAUGAAAAGCCUCUACUUGGGACCUGCCCGUCAGCGGCCAUAUUGACAACUGGCAAACUCUAGCUUGAAUCCCCGAGAAACAGGCACGCAUCGUGUCGGCUUCCAAGUUGGAAAGGCCGGAGGAAGAGAACGGUGUCCACGUCGCAGAGACGAACAGUUUCCGCCCGCUUGACUUCACAGUGGGCGGGAGCCGUUCUAAAGACCUCCGGGACAGUUGCUGCGGCGACGUCCAGGGCGGGGAAGGGAAUGUGAGGACGGGCGGUGUAAGCAUGCGCAAGGGCCACGUUUUACCUUUCCUUACGGUUCCUGUAGAGGGUGAGGUGGGUGGACAUACGGGCUCUUCUUGCUAAACCAGGCCCUCAACUCCGAGUGAAAACUGCUUGGAGCGGCGACUUGAAGGACAGCGGCCGCCCGGGUUUUGCUGAAUUCACACGGGACCUUUUGUCUUGCCUUUAAUAGGCAGCCCUGAGUUCGAAUCUUGCACCCUGUCAUAUUAGCUGUCCUGUUUAAUUGUGUUCUUUAACCUUGAAGCCUUAGUGUCUAAAGUUUACUUCGCUCAGUACUGAGCAGGGAUGAGCACAGCAAGUAAAAGAGCCUCAACAAAAGCGUGCCUGGGACAAAUGAAGCCUUCCCUCUGCAGUCAGGUUUCAGAACACACAAGUUCCUCUGAAGACACUCGAGGCCUUUUCUUCCAUUAUUACAAAUAGACGAAGAGCACACAUUCAUAAGAUUCUAUGAUCAGAUUUCAUGGUAUAAAGAGUGAGACAUCAUCUAAACACUUGGCUGCUGCCUGAGAGGCCCUGUUUUGGAAGAUGCAUCUGCUUUAUGCCUUCCUUGCUUUGCUCUCUCUUACCUCUGGUUUCCAUCCUAACUGUCCUGGGAGAUGUAGCUGCGAUUCAGUGCACUCGGUACAAUGCUACAGGCUAACGGAGGUACCGUCAGGCCUUCCUUCCACCACCAAGAAGCUCUACAUUAGCCACAGCAAAAUUCAGCAC